UACGUAGGGUGCGAGCGUUAAUCGGAAUUACUGGGCGUAAAGCGUGCGCAGGCGGUGAUGUAAGACAGAUGUGAAAUCCCCGGGCUCAACCUGGGACCUGCAUUUGUGACUGCAUCGCUGGAGUGCGGCAGAGGGGGAUGGAAUUCCGCGUGUAGCAGUGAAAUGCGUAGAUAUGCGGAGGAACACCGAUGGCGAAGGCAAUCCC
rnacentral:rRNA from 1 species